CUCAUGCUGGUAGCUUCGAGAACACUGUCCAACCAUCUCGUCCUCUGUCGUCUCCUUCUCCUUGUGCCCUCCAUCUUUCCCAACAUCAGGGUCUUUUCCAGGGAGUCUUCUCUUCUCAUGAGGUGGCCAAAGUAUUGGAGCCUCAGCUUCACGAUCUGUCCUUCCAGUGAGCACUCCGGGCUGAUUUCCUUCAGAAUGGAUAGGUUUGGUCUUCUUGCAGUCCGUAUGGAAAUGCUGUGGACACCCUCAAAGAUAAACCUGCAAAUGUACCAGCUGUUCUAUUUAAAGACUCGGGGGCUGAGGAGGGGCACAACCUGAUAAGGCAAGUUUGGUCACCUGUUCUGCAUUACUAAAAUAAUUGCUUGAACUUCCAACAUAAGGUGACUAAAACGAGGACAAAAAUUGACUUAGAUGAAGCAGCGCUACUCCGGUUUGGUGGAACGAAUCUGGAACACCUCCAGUUGCUAUAAAUAGCCUAUAUGUCUGACGCAUUUCAACAUUUUAUGGCUAAAGGAUCACCACAGCAUUAGGCAAAAAAAUCCCUGUUGUUGGAAAUUACAAAUAAUUAGGCUUAUUUUUUCUAGAAACCACUAGCAGGAUAGGAGAUUUGUGAGCCACACAAGCAGAUCUUGCUUUGGCAUUUCCUAUUGGCUAGAUCUGCAGAGACCAAAAGGAAGUAUAGGAGCCUUUUUGCUGCCACCUGCUGGAAGGAAUACAUAGUAUUUGCUACUUUCACCUGUUGGCUGAAAUGUUUGCAAUGCACCCAAUUUGGUGCCGCCGCCUACUGGAACAGUCUGUGUUGCAAUACUCUCAAAUUUUGCCUCUUUGUGGAAAAUGCAAGCAAUCCCACCUCACUGGCUUGCAUUCUUGAAUUAAAGGUAAAGGUAAAGGGAUCCCUGACUAUUAGGUCCAGUCAUGACCGACUCUGGGGUUGCGGCACUCAUCUUGCUUUAUUGGCCGAGGGAGCCGGCAUACAGCUUCCAGGUCAUGUGGCCAGCAUGACUAAGCCGCUUCUGGCGAACCAGAGCAGCGCACGGAAAUGUCGUUUAACUUCCCGCCGGAGCGGUACCUAUUUAUCUACUUGCACUUUGACGUGCUUUCAAACUGUGAGGUUGGCAGGAGCAGGGACCGAGCAACGGGAGCUCACCCCGUCACGGGGAUUUGAACCGCUGACCUUCUGAUUGGCAAGUCUUAGGUUCUAUGGUUUAACCCACAGUGCCAGCCGCGUCCUUGAAUUAGCUGUGAGUAAUUCACAGCUGUGAGUAAGGCAAAAGAGCAUAGACUUCCACAUGCACAUAUAGACCUAGGGAGGAGGCAGGUAGCUUUGAACUAGGGUCAGUUUGUGGCUUUGUCUAUGAUGCUAGGUGAUGUUGCUGUCAUUUCAUAAAUAUUAUUUAUCGUAUUUUGGGAAGGGAAGGGAGAAGAUUGGGAUCCCAGCUUUUCCAGGGUGGGGACUUGAUCCAGUACUGAAUAUAAAAAAGGUAAAGGACCCCUGACAGUUAAGUCCAGUUGCAGAAGUGUCUGGGGUUGCAGCACUCAUCUCGCUUUACAGGCCAAGGGAGCCAGCGUUUGUCCGCAGACAGUUUUUCUAAGUUAUGUGGCCAGCAUGACUAAGCCGCUUUUGGCGCAACGGAACACCGAAACCAGAGCAGUGCACGGAAACGCCAUUUACCUUCCUGCGGGAGUGGUACCUAUUCAUCGACUUGCACUUUUUUGGCGUGCUUUUGAACUGCUAGGUUGGCAGGAGCUGGGACCGAGCAACAGGAGCUCACCCCGUUGCGGGGAUUCGAACCGCUAACCUUCUGAUCGGCGAGCACAAGAGGCUCAGUGGUUUAGACCACAACGCCACCCGCGUCCCUAGUACAGUCAUACCUCGGGUUACAGAUGCUUCAGGUUGCGCAUUUUCGGGUUGCGCACUGCGCCGAACCCGGAAGUACCGGAAUGGGUUACUUCCAGGUUUCAGCACUUGCGCAUGCACAGAAAUACUAAAUCAUGCUUUGCGCAUGUGCAGAAGCGUUGAAUCGCAACCCGCGCGUGCACAGACGCGGCUCUGCGGGUUGCGAACGUGCCUCCCACAUGGAUAAUUUAAAAAAUUGUGGCUUUCCCCCCACAGCAUCUGCAUUUCAUUGGCAUAAAACUGCCAACCUUUAUCCCCUUUCCCACCAUAUAAUCUGGAUUUCCUCUUUCUGGGAGAAAUCUGAUAAAGAAACACACAUACACCAUGUGAUCUCUCAACGACCUGUUUGCAAAUUUAGCCUCUGUCUGGAAGCAACACAUUUGGGAAUCUUACCAAGCUACUAAAACGUUUAUGAGUGCUCUUAACACAGAAUAAGACAACUGAAUGUUGGUUCCAUUAUGCAUGAAAAUAACUUCAAAAGUAGACUUGCCAUAGGUCAGGAAAAGUCUUGGCAUGUUGUGGUGUUCGGGUGUAAAAAUGGCCAAACGUCAGGGAAACCUAGCUGUCAACUUUUCCCUUUUUUAAAGGGAAAUUCCCUUAUUCCGAAUAGGAUUCCUCGCAAGAAAAGGGAAAAGUUGACAGCUAUGCAGGGAAAACCUGGAUGUAUAGCAACAUGAUGGGGAAAAAAGCAGAAAUAUGGCAAUCCUAUUCAAAAGACACAAUUUGGAAGGCAGGGAGAGGCCAAUGAAUAUUCGUGGUAUUUGCUUGUUCUAUUCGUUUGCUGUCAGAUAUUAGCUAUCUAAAGGAAGCUGAUUCAAAAGUUCUUGUGGGCAACUCCAGAAAAGAUUGAAGCAAUCUGCUGAUUUGAAAAGCUCUGGUUAAAAAUCCAGCCAAAAAUCAAAUUCAGAAAGAUCAAUUUUUAUUUUUUUAAUGAUCUUUAUUAAGGUUUCAAAAGAAGGAUACAUAAAUAAGAAAGAGAAAAAUAGAAAAAAGAAAAAUACAAAAUACAAAAAAAACCAAUUAAAAACAAUUCCAUCUUUUCAUCACUUCUCUUACAUUUACUUGUUUCCCGGACCUCCUCAUACCUCCCUUUUUUGUAUUCCAGUUCAAUUUAUUAGUCCAGCAAUUCCUUUCCCUCCUUUUUAAUCCUGAUCUUUAGUCUUAAUAUAUUAUAGCAUGAGGUUUUUACGUAUUGAAAAUCCAAUUUUUCCAUAUUCUUUUAUACCAUUACAGCUAGAAACCACUUGACUUCAAUCCAACAUCAUUCUAACAUUCAUUAAUUUUACAAUAUUUCUGUAAGUAGUCUUUAAAUUUCUUCCAAUCUUCUUCCACCGACUCUUCUCCCUGGUCUCGGAUUCUGCCAGUCAUUUCCGCCAAUUCCAUGUAGUCCAUCAUUUUCAUCUGCCAUUCCUCCAGUGUGGGUAGAUCUUGUGUCUUCCAAUGCUUUGCAAUAAGUAUUCUUGCUGCUGUUGUAGCAUACAUAAAGAAAGUUCUAUCCUUCUUUGGCACCACUUGGCCGACUAUGCCCAGGAGAAAUUAAUAAUAAAUUCAGAAAGAUCUAGAUUUGAUUAAUAUGGUGCACUAGGAGAAGUCGGCACAAGGACUUCCACUAGAGCAAAGGGGCUUUCCCAGCCUUUCCUCCCCCAACACACCCCCACGCCUCCCCUCAAAUCCAAUCUGGACAGCCAGGAGAACCUGCAAAACAUAACUGGGGAGGACGAGAGCAUGGAUCAUUCUGUCUGGCAAGGAUUGUGGUGACAGAACAAUCCAAAUAAUGCAGCAUUGAAUUCCUCCCAUAAUUUUUUCCAGGUGGAAAAAUCAAAAUUAGAAAUAGAACUGUUAGAACCCAAAACUAAGAUUCUGUCAAAGAUUUAUAACUUGCUGUUGAAAUGAAAUACUCAGGAUGAAACGGUGAAAUCUUCUAUGAUUAAAUGGGCACAAGAUGUUGGACAUAACAUAAUGAUGGCUGACUGGGAACAGUUAUGGACCACAGGUAUGAAGUUUACGGCAUGCAAUGCCUUAAGAGAGAAUAUUAUGAAAAUGAUAUACAGGUGGUACAUGACCCCAGUCAAGCUUGCAAAAAUCUAUCAUUUGCCCGAUAAUAAAUGUUGGAAAUGUAAAGAAGCUGAAGGUACAUUCUUUCACCUUUGGUGGACGUGCCCAAGGAUUAAGGCUUUCUGGGAGAUGAUCUAUAAUGAAAUGAAAAAGGUAUUUAAAUAUACCUUCUUGAAGAAACCAGAGGCCUUUCUCCUGGGCAUAGUCGGCCAAUUGGUGCCAAAGAAGGAUAGAACUUUCUUUAUGUAUGCCACAACAGCAGCAAGAAUACUUAUUGCAAAGUAUUGGAAGACACAAGAUCUACCCACUGUGGAAGAAUGGCAGAUGAAGGUGAUGGACUACAUGGAACUGGCGGAAAUGACUGGCAGAAUCCGAGACCAGGGAGAAGAGUCGGUGGAAGAAGAUUGGAAGAAAUUUAAAGACUAUUUACAGAAAUAUUGCAAAAUUAAUGAAUGUUAGAAUGAUGUCAGAAUAAAGUUAAGUGGUUUUAGCAGCAAUGUCUUAAAGGUCUAUGUAAAAAUGGAUUGCUAAUAAGUGAGAAUCUAAAGUUAUAAUAUAUUAAUUUAAAGAACUAAGACAAUAAUAAAGAGGGAAAGGAAUUGCUGAAUUAACCAACUGAACUGGAAUACAAAAAAGGGAGGUGAGAGGAGGUCAGGGAAGUAAGGAAAUGAAAUGUAAGAUACGGAAGGAUUGAUUUGUUUUUAAGUGUUUUUUUAUCUUUGUUUUUUCUGUACUUUGUAUUUUGUAUGUUUUUUCUUUUUUUCCUUUUUUUCCUUGUUUCUUUUCUCUUUAAUUAUGUAAUUUUUUGUUUUUGAAAUUUUAAUAAAUAUCAUUUAAAAAAAAAAAGAAUUCCUCCCAUAAUUUUAUUUAUGCCAUUUUUGCAUUCAGCCCCCACUCCCUCUCUUGGGGUACCAUGUGCUCUAGCUAGAGAUUCUAUGUUAUUAGAAAUUCAGUGGGCCCUGGAGUCACAGCCCCUUAAUCAACUGUUUUGUGUGCGUUAUGCACACAAAUAUGACAUAUAUGACAAUAAAUCUUCCUCCUGUGAAGGGAUGGGCAAAUCUAUCAGUGUUGGUUUCUCCCAGUUUCUCAUUUUUCCAAAUUUAAGUUCUCCACAUUUCCACAUCAGUUAGCAAUUUUUUAAAAAAUAAUCCUCAUAAAAUUUGUCGACAGCAUCUUAGUGUGAUUUUCUCCUUAGGUGUACAUUUUUGUAGGCAACGCUUUUUGCAUGUUAUGUUCAGAAAUAUGUGGUUUUCUUUUCACACUUUGCCAGAAUAUAUGCAUUUUUGUACAUAUUACUUGGCAGGAGACCUGCGCUGCAAAAUUUGCAGAAGGGCACAUUUCCAAGGAUGGAUGAUGAAGAAGAAGAGCUUGGAUUUGAUAUCCCGCUUUAUCACUACCGGAAGGAGUCUCAAAGCGGCUAACAUUCUCCUUUCCCUUCCUCCCCCACAACAAACACACUGUGAGGUGAGUGGGGCUGAGAGACUUCAGAGAAGUGUGACUGGCCCAAGGUUACCCAGCAGCUGCAUGUGGAGGAGCGGAGAUGCGAACCCGGUUCCCAAGAUUACGUGACUACCGCUCUUAACCACUACACCACACUGGCUCUCCAGUGUGUUUGUGUUUGUGUUUUAUUUCAGAAAGUGUAGAUUAGGAAGAUUUGCCUUUAAAUGUAAACUGAACUGAAUUUUGUUUCGGCAAAUAGAUUCAUGUUAUACCAGAGAUUAUUCUGCACUCCUGAACUCUGGAUCUUCCGAGAUGCUCUGUUUUGUACCCCUACCUAGGACCCUCGUACCUACGGGGCCGCCUCUCCUGGUAUGCCCCACGGAGAGCCUCAAGGUCCAUAAAUAGCAACAACCUAGUGGUCCCGGGCCCUAAGGAAGUUAGAUUAGCUUCAACCAGAGCCAGGGCCUUCUCAACACUGGCCCCGGCCUGGUGGAACGCUCUGCCUCAUGAGACCAGGGCCCUGCAGGAUCUGAUUUCUUUCCGCAGGGCCUUUGGCCUGGCCUUUGGCUUGGAGCCAAUUUGAUUCCCACCCCUCCCCCUCCCCCUCUUUCUUUUUCCUUUCUCCUCCUGUGAUGAGGCUGCAUUUUAAUAUUUUAAUGUUUCAAUAUUUUAAUGUUGUAUUUUAAUCUUGUUUUUCAGUUGUAUUCAUUCAACUUGUUUAUUGCUUGUUAGCCGCCCUAAGCCCAGCCUUGGCUGGGGAGGGUGGGGUAUAAAUAAAAAAUAUUAUUAUUAUUAUUACCUACAGCCCUGAAAGCUAAAGCUUUAUGAACCUAUAUUUUCUCCUACCAACGUGGCAAUGAAUCAUGAAAAUGGCUCAGAAUGAAGCCCAGCACUGAAAAACCCAACCCUAAUCCUCCCUUGAGUGUAGUAUUCUACAGAAUUGCACACAAAUUUAUUUAUUUAUAUUUUUUAUUUUUAAAGAACUUGCCAUUUGCUUUUCUGAUGUUUCAGGAGAACGUUUCUUUUCUCGCAGGGCUUGGCAUGAAGUAAUUAAGAAAUAAUGAUCAUACUGUGAAAAGUCUAUCUACACAUACAAAAAUUGAUUGCUGCUGGGGGGAGGGUUACCCGCUAAUGUCAACAAGAAACUGAGUUAAAAACUGAAACAGGCAUCAGUAUAAAUGUAUGGGCAAAGGGUAACCCAGAUACAGUAGAUCCACAUGUGUGCUUUAAAAAGAAAGAAAGCAGUAGCUGCUACUGAUAUAGGGUUUUUUUAAUUUAAAACCCCACUUUAACUUUCCCUGAUUCAUCCAAACACAGUGAUAAAGGUAAAGGUAAAGGGGACCCCUGACCAUUAUGUCCAGUUGUGACCGACUCUGGGGUUGCGGUGCUCAUCUCGCUUUAUUGGCCGAGGGAGCCGGCGUACAGCUUCCAGGUCAUGUGGCCAGCAUGACUAAGCUGCUUCUGGAGAACCAGAGCAGCUCACGGAAAUGCCGUUUACCUUCCCACCAGAGCGGUACCUAUUUAUCGACCUGCACUUUGGCAUACUUUGGAACUGCUAGGUUGGCAGGAGCAGGGACUGAGCAACGGGAGCUCACCCUGUUGCGGGGAUUCGAACCGCCGACCUUCUGAUUGGCAAGUCCUAGGCUCUGUGAUUUAACCCACAGCACCAGUUGCAUAAGUAAACCCCCAACUACAUGCGUCUUCACUUUUAUCCUGCACUUUUUAGUGAAAUUUCCUUUCCCUUUCUUUUCCUUUCUUUCCCUUUCUUUCCCUUUCUUUCCCUUUCUUUCCCUUUCAAAGAAGGAGUCUCCUUCUUUGGAGGUCUUUAAGCAGAGGCUUGACAACCAUAUGUCAGGACUGCUCUGAUGGUGUUUCCUGCUUGGCAGGGGGUUGGACUCGAUGGCCCUUGUGGUCUCUUCCAACUCUAUGAUUCUAUUCUACUGUAAAAAAGUAUGAUUUGUUUUGGAAGCAGACUAGUUGCCCAGAAGCACCAAACUGGCUCUAAUUGCACAACCUGAAUUGGGGGGGGUCAUCUGUUUGAAUCCCUCCCACAAAACAGCAACAGUUCACACACCAGAGAUGAGGCACCUGCAGCCCUCCAGGUGUUGGGCUCCAAUUCCCAUCACCUCCAUCCAGCAUGACCUGUGGCCGUUCAUGAUGGCAUUUGUAGUCUAGCAACCUCUGCUGCUCCACAGAUUCCCUAUCUCUGCUGUGCACGAGCCAUACAAGUUAAGAAGGAAUUUUGUGGAGUCCAUACUGUUGCCAAGUUGCAUGUUGAGGACUGCACUAUUGUGACAUUCUCUGCAUGGGUGCUAUACCCAUGUGUGGAGAAAUGCCCAUACAAUAUGACAGAGCUCUGUUAUUUCCUUUGCAACACAUGUACAUGAAGGAGAAUAGGAAGUCUGUGCAUAUGUAUAAUACCCUUCACAAUUUCUCCCUCCCUUCAGUCAGAGCUAAGAGCCUGUGCAUGCUGCAGGGUGGGGCAGGUGGGGGACAGGAAAAAUUGUCCCAAUAUGCCCCAUUGGGGUUAUUCUUAUGGGGUCCUAUCCUGAGUGGCUGCUGUUAUGGUUUCCCGAGAAAACACUAUUUUGAGGUGUGCAUGAGUCUCCCUACAUAUUUCACUUUUUAUUCAAAUUGAUUCCAACAAUCCUAAAAACAAAAUUUACACACUCAACAUCCUGCCCCCAAGAAUAACUUUUUAAAAAUUAAAUUAAAAAAACUAAACUGCAAAAGCAAGAAAAGAAGUGAAAGAGAAGCUAAAGAGUUUAUCAUUAAAAGCUUCCUCCAUCUGCCCAGUCAACCAUCAGCCUCCUCAGUUCCUUUCUUGGCACACAAGCCGAGAGGCCUGGUGGGCAGAAGUGCUGCAGGGAUUAAUUAGCUGGUGUUUUCAUUAAUAAUUAGUUCAAAAGUACACUGCAAAGGCGUGUAAUUAUUCCUUAGUGGAUAGAGUUGUUUUUUUAAAAGGUAAUGUUAAGAAAAAUCAGGAGGGGAAACGUUCAGAUGCUGUUGGGUUUCUUCUUCCCUCUCUUCCUUUUCUUCUUAGGAACAUAAAAAGCUGUCCUAUAACACUGGACUAUCUAGCACACUAUUGUCUAAUCCUGUGGUGCCCUUCAGAGGUCGUCAUACGACAACCUCCAUCAGCUUCUAGGUAGCAUAGCCAAUCGUCAGGGAUGAGGGGAGCAACAUCUGGUGGAGAGCACUACGCUGGCUUCUUCUUCUUUGGCGAUCACUUGUAGCCGAGUAAGAUUGUCUUCCAUAAACACGGUUUUAACAAUGAGUCCGUAAGUGACUGUGGAGGCCAAUUCUGGAUCCACACGUCCUUCCACAGUGGGGACAUUGGUUUCCCAGCGGGAGUUGAUCAUGGUGUGGAUUUACCAAGCAUGCCUUCCUCUUAGCAUGUUUCUCCCUUGCGUCCUGAGUUUGAGUGUCUUCAAAGUCCAUGACACCUUUGGUAAAGGCUGUUCUCCAACUGGAGCGCUCACAGGCCAGUGUUUCUCAGUUGUUGGUGUUUAUACUACAUUUUUUUAGAUUUGCCUUGAGACAGUCUUUAAACCUCUUUUGUUGACCACCAGCAUUACGCUUUCCAUUUUUAAGUUCGGAAUAGAGUAGUUGCUUUGGAAGUCGAUCAUCAGGCAUCCGCACAACAUGACCAGUCCAAUGAAGUUGAUGUUGAAGAAUCAUUGAAUCAGUGGGGAAACUCCCCACUGGGGUAGAAAUCAUAUAUCAAACAGAUGGAAAGCUCUUCAAUCUGAGCAGGCUGAAAGCAAAGAGUAAGGUUACCGUAAUUUCCGUCAUAGAGCUUCAGUAUGCUGAUGACAAUGUAGUGAGAGGAUGACCUCCAAACCAUCCUAAAUAUCUUCGCAGAAGUUUAUGAAAAGCUUGGCUUGUCGCUCACUCAACAUCCAAAAAACCAAAGGGCUGCAUCCAACAAGUACAAAAUAACCCCUCUGCAACACCACAAAUCCAACUCAGUGGUGUAACGUUGGAAAAUGUCAAUCACGUCUCCUACCUAGGCAGUUAUCUUUACCACGUUGGCUACCCUGGGAAUGACUGGCAGCUGCUCUGAAAUCACAGGUGGGGAGUAUGCUGUUGCAAUCUGGAGCUACUUGCAGGCUUCCCAUAGGCAUCUUGUUGGCCACUGUGAGAACAGGAUGCCACACCUGAUGGGAAGCUGGCUUAAGCCAGCAUGUUCUUCUUCCAUUCUUAGCUCCUGAAGUACGAAAAAGCCAUAAAUUAUGAGCGAGUGACAACCCUACAGUGCUAAAGCAGCAGCGAGAGGAGCAAGGAAGAUGUUGUAACACAAAACAAUUCCAGGUGCUGGAGACUGAUUCCUACAAAUCCCAGAGGAUGUGAUUGUUGUCAAUUUCUCCGUUGAAAAUGUGCAAUUUGUGUUUAUCCUGGAGGUUUGCCAUGCAGUUGGCAUUAAUCACUAUGAUGUGUCAUGUGGAUAAACUGUGCGAUAGCACAGUGCACCGAGGGGGAAAUUUUUGAACUGCUUAUGCUGUAUAUUUUCCUCAUCAAAGAAAGCCACAAUUGAUUCCAUAAUGGUUUCCCUUUCUCCCGCUGAAACUGCCUGCAGAAUUAAGUGGCUGCAAACUCCUGUCUCAAGGAAAUACGGAUCAAGGAUUCUAGGAAAGAAGGUAUGUUUCUCUGCCCAAUGGAUUGUCCUUUCCUUGCCUCCACUGUGCAUUCUUUAGGAGUUAACUGCGUUGAGGGGAGGAUGCAAUCAUAUUUAGCUUUUCAAAGAAUAAGAUUGCUGUGUCAUUCUGUUGAUGCCUCUAUUUUCCCUUGCUCUAAGUAGCAGCAUGUGUUCUGGAGCAGCUGCUAAACAGGAAACAUGACAGUCAAGCCUAGCAGCUGUACUCUCUCCCCCACGACUGCUGGAAUAGGAGAGUUAUAGCAGACGUCAGGCCGCAACAGGAAAUCAACUGAUGCCAGGGAAGUGUGCUUGCAGCAAAGUUUCCCUUGCUUCGUUAAAAUUGCCCCUGCUUAAAGGUUUUGAAGAAAAGCAAUGGCACACCUAGACAGCAUCUUAAAAAGCAGAGACAUCACCUUGCCAACAAAGGUCCGUAUAGUAAAAGCUAUGGUUUUCCCAGUAGUGAUGUAUGGAAGUGAGAGCUGGAUCAUAAAGAAGGCUGAUCGCCGAAGAAUGGAUGCUUUUGAAUUAUGGUGCUGGAGGAGACUCUUGAGAGUCCCAUGGACUGCAAGAAGAUCAAACGCAUCCAUUCUUAAGGAAAUUAGCCGUGAGUGCUCACUGGAAGGACAGAUCCUGAAGCUGAGGCUCCAAUACUUUGGCCACCUCAUGAGAAGAGAAGACUCCCUGGAAAAGGCCCUGAUGUUGGGAAAGAUGGAGGGCACAAGGAGAAGGGGACGACAGAGGACAAGAUGGCUGGACAGUCUUCUUGAGGCUACCAGCAUGAGUUUGACUAAACUGCGGGAGGCAGUGGAAGACAGAAGUGCCUAGCAUGCUCUGGUCCAUGGGGUCACGAAGAGUCAGACACGACUAAACGACUUAACAACAACAAAAGGUUUUGAUGGUUUUGUUUUGUGUUUGUUUUUUGCUUUAUCUAAAACACCUUUUCUUUCUGCUUGCGUUGCAGAUCUCUCUGAAACCUUAGCUUUGAUAUGUGUCUUUUCCAAGCAGUGCUCCGGCUACCAUGGCCAAUGGUUAGGGAUGGCGGAAGUUGUAGUCUAGCAAAAUCUGGCAGACCACAGGUUCCCCAUUCCUGGUGUAGACAACAAUGAAUGAGGUGGACCAGCAAUCUCACUCAGUAUAAAGCAGGUUCCUAUACUGAUGCAAUAAAACUGCAAUAAAACUCAGUUCCGCCUCCUCUCAGGUGGGCAUCAUUGCCAUUAUAAGAGAAUAAGGUAGCAUUCAUGGCGAGUUCUGGAACUUCUUUUUCUAGAAAAAUAGCACUGGGUACAACCACAUUUGGAAUACUGACUACAGUUCUGGUCACCUAACCGCAAAAGGGAUAUAGUAGAGUUGGAAAAAGGUUCAGAAAAGGGCAACCAAAAUGAACCCAUUUGAAGAAAGGUUGCAGCAUGUGGGAUUUUUUAGUUUAGAGAAAAGGUAAGAGGCAACAUCAUUAGGGUUGCCAUAUUUCAAAAAGUUGAAACGAGGAGCUCUUUUUUUUUUUUUAAGAAGACCUCAACAAACACCAAAAGGUUUCCCGCAGGUCUGAUCCAGCAGGUAAUUUUGGUUUACAAAGUUUUUAAACAUCCAUUAUUGAUUGCAGCACUAAUAGAGAACCAUCCAGUGCCAUGUGGAUGCAACUUGACCCACUGAAUUUAAUUAGAACUGAACCUAUCCAUGACUUGAUGAUGAUUAUAAUGGUACCAAUAAUAUAUCUAAUAAUAGCAAUGUUCAAUUAUUUUACAUACAUUUGAACUUUAGUAUCACAGUCCGUAAUUUUGGCAGUUCAUUUCUCUCUUACCUCAUCGCUUACUUUUUAAUAUACUACACACUUGUGUUUAUGUUUCUGGCAUCCUAGCAUAGCACUUUGUGCAUGUUAUGCUAUAAAAUUGUUAACUUUUAAGCACUGGCAGAGGAAGAGUUGUGCAGGGGGAGUGCACCGCCCCCGGCAGCGCGAUCCCGGCGGGGUGCCAUUGUGGCUGCCCCCCUGCCCACGCUGGGCACCAUGCCCCCAAGACGUGCACCAUGUCCCUACGGGCAGCUCACCACACCCCCAGGACACACGCCAACCCCGUCCUUGCCUGCUCUCCGCCCCCCGGUGCCGGAGCAUGAAGCUCCGCCACUGCUUCUAAGGCUGUUUUUGCAGCAACAUAAAUUAUUACCAGUCUGGAAUUUGAAAUAUCAGUUAAUUUGUGCCUCCUUCAUUUCCUCCACAACUUAAAUACUGCCUCUUGUUGAUAGUUAUUCAGACUAAUCGUGUUCUCUAGAUAUAUUUUUUUUGCUUUUGGAUAAUUUAAACCACAAUACCAUUUAAAGCAAACAAGAAUGGGGGCUGCUAAUGACUUUGGGGCAAGAUAGGAGCUUCUGCUUCAUUAAAUGUUCAAUGGGCACUUGGAUUUAAUUGCUCUUUAGAGGCUACUGGUUAUGCAUGCUGUGAAAGUGGGGGUGUGAGUUAAACCAACACAGAGGCAGGGAGAAAAAAUGCUAAUUGCUCAAGGGUGAAUGAACCCAUAAGCUACUUGGGGCUCUGAAAUACUUAAAAACCUCUGCAGAAGGUUGCAGAGGCAUCCUCAAGUGAAUUAAAACCAGGACGGGCAAGGCAUACUCAAAGGGACAAGUCCCACUGUGUUCAAUGGAGCUCACGUUCAGAAAAAGAGCCCUGCUAGAUCAGAGCAAUGGUUCAUUAAUCCAGCAUCCUAUUUCCCACAGUGGCCAACCAGAUGUCUCUGAAAGUUCACGAGCAGGAAACAAGGGCAAUCGCCCUUUACUGAGAACUUGAGUGAUGCAGAGAUUAAAUGUUGAAUCAGGGCUGGGGAGACCCAGGUUCCAACCCUGCUCAACCAUGAAGCAUACCAAGUGACCUUGACCCCAAUCACUAUCUCUCACUAUCUCUACAUUAGAGUUAUGAGGAUAAUGGGGGGGUGGGGUGAUGGAGGGAACCUUGCAUGCUACAUUGAGCUCCUUGGAGGAAUGGCAGGAUAUAAAAAUUAUUAUUGACUGUGUAUAGGAUCUAAGGAUCUCCAGAAGGCUAUGAAGAUCCGUUUCCGAUGGCAAUCUUUUUCAACUGGGAUGUUUUGUUUUGAACUAUUGAUGUUAUAGCAAUCACUGUUUUCAUUGAUAAAUGGAACAGCAUUAACUAUGAGUGGAUUGUAGUAGUUUUAUCUUUAUCUUUGUAUUGUUUGUAUCCUUAUAGUAUUAUGUAAACCUUCUUGGAAGAGUUGCAGUCAGAAAGGUGUCCUGUCAAUAUUUUUAUUGAUAUUUAUGUCUAAGUCAGCCGUGUGAAAACACGACUAGAGAAGCAGGAUUGCAACAAUAACAUACAGAUUUGGAAUCCAUAUUACAAACAUUUGGUAGAAAUCUAUCUAUCCAGUAGCUAGAAACAUAUAUGUACUGUAUCUAUCUAUGAAGAUACUGAACAUACUUACAGACUAUACAUAGGUGCACACAAAAAUAAAGGUAUUUAAAAAAAUUAAAAAAUAAGUCAGUUGGUUAGACUCACAUGAUCUUGUUUCACCCUCUAGUGGAAUAUCUGCACAUUGCAGAUUUUUCAAGGACCCUGAAUGUCAUUGUGUUUUAGGCUUCAAUCCUAUUCUGAAACCAAACCUCGCAGGAAGAUAAAAGUUUCCAUUCUGGUUGUAAAGUUUGAUAAAAUCCAUUUAAGAUCAAGCUUUAUAAAAUCUGGAGGCCAUGUUUGCCUUUCAGAAUUAGCAAGUUGGGAUGUCAGAUGUUGGCAUUUGUUGUUUAGUCGUGUCCGACUCUUCGUGACCCCAUGGACCAGAGUACGCCAGGCACUCCUGUCUUCCACUGCCUCCCAGUUUGGUCAAACUCAUGCUGGUAGCUUCGAGAACACUGUCCAACCAUCUUGUCCUCCAGGGAGUCUUCUGUUCUCAUGAGGUGGCCAAAGUCUUGGAGCUUCAGCUUCAGGAUCUGUCCUUCCAGUGAGCACUCGGGGCUGAUUUCCUUCAGAAUGGAUAGGUUUGAUCUUCUUGCAGUCCACAGGACUCUCAAGAGUCUCCUCCAGCACUAUAAUUCAAAAGCAUCAAUUCUUCGGCGAUCAGCCUUCUUUAUGAUCCAGCUCUCACUUCCAUAUUGCCUGGUAAUUUAGUAAAUGUAUGAAGUUUUGUAGCUUAUCUGAAAUUCAGUUAUACCAUUGUAUAUUUCUCAUCAUCUCUAGAACAGCAAAGUAUUAAUGUGAUAGCUGGUUCUUGUGUGUGUGUUUGUGUGUGUGUAUACUGUAUAUAUUCCUAAUAUUUACACAUCUUUAGGGCAGAGUGAUUUACAAAUUCAUCAAACAAAAUAACAAUCAGGAACAGCAUUCUUUAACUUCCUUAUUGAUGUUGAACAUUUUAUCCCACUCUUCACAGGAAAACAAAGAGGUGAACAACAAAUGCAAAUGACAUUUUUCUUAAAUAAAAAUGCACUAAUAGGAGACACGUGGAAGUGUUUUUUCCUGGACCGUCGUCCUGCUUCUCAAAAAUCGUUGUGAUAUCUAUCAGGUCGCAUGCGACACUGCCGUUUCACUUGCACGACAGGCUUCCCACUUGUGCAAGGCAACGUCCCCAACCUCUCUCCUUCGGCCCCCACCAGCAAGGACCCUCUGGGGCAGAUUCAAAGAAGAGGAAGUCCCCUUGUGCAAAUAGGAUGCUGCUCACAGAGCUUUGGAUGAACCCAUUAUCUCAUUAUCAGCUCUCUGAUUAUUAUUUUUUUGCCUACAUUAUGCAUUUAUUUAUUUAUUUAGUAAAUUUACAAACCAUUUGCUUGAAAAAAAAAUAUUUAGGUGGUGCCGAAGUCUAAUUAUACAUGUCCUGGCAUCCACCUGUCUCAGGAGGCAAUGGAAGAAUUUACGUUUUGGGGAUGAGAUCAAAUUUGGUACAGCACACAAACCAUUAUUAUAAUAAUUUAUAUACAGUGGUACCUCGCAAGACGAAUGCCUCGCAAGACAAAAAACUCGCUAGAUGAAAGGGUUUUUUGUUUUUUGAGCUGCUUUGCAAGACGAUUUUCCCUAUGGGGUUGCUUCGCAAGACGAAACGUCUUGCAAGUUUGUUUCCUUUUUCUUAACACCGUUAAUACAGUUGUGACUUGACUUCGAGGAGCAACUCAUAGAACGCGGUGUGGUAGCCUUUUUUGAGGUUUUUAAAGACUUUGGUGAUUUUUGAAGCUUUUCCAAAACUUUCCCGACACUGUGCUUCGCAAGACGAAAAAAAUCGCAAAACGACAAAACUCGCGGAACGAAUUAAUUUCGUCUUGCGAGGCACCACUGUACCGUCCUAUACCCGGAGGUCUCAGAGCAGUUCACAGAAUAAAAUCAAAAUAUAAAACCACAAAAUACAUAAUCAAAAUAAAAACAACCCAGUAAAUCCCCACCCCAAAAAAAUACCUUUUAAAAGGACAUAGGAUCCUCAAAUCAUUUAAAGUAAGACAAUUAACAAACCUUGACAAGAGCCACUAGUUGGAAAAAAACCAUGAUCUCAGAAAUGUUUGCAGCAAUAUUUAAAUGUUAUCAGCAAUAUAUACAAAAACCCCUACUUAAAAAAACAAAACAGAUAAAAUGUAUUAUUAUUAUUAUUAUUAUUAAUCGCCUAUAUGUGAACAUCUCAAGGUGAUGUAC